CGGGACAAUACUCGAAGAAAAUGAAGGAACGGCCAUGGCCCUUUUGACUUUCGUAUUCUGUCAUGGAACAUUGAAGGAUUAAGGAAACACGAUAAUGAACAUUCACAGGAUUUUAACUGCGAUGGACAGGGGACUGAGUCCUAAAUGGUAUGGGACAUGGGUUCCAAGCCAGGAGUCCUGCUACGAGGAGUCUUUGAAUGUUGGCGUGUCUGCACUAUAUAUACAGGACUACUAUAGCGCCUUUGCAUCUUGUGCCGUCGGCCUCGGUCUUGCUCUCAUUGUGUUACUGGGAGAGACUCUUAUAUCACAUAUUAUGCGAAAAGUUCGAACGACUUAGCUCAGGUUUCAUCAUAUACUAUUGUUGGACACAUCAUAACGUGUCCGUGCUUGUACAUGUGCACAUGGGUAAAUCUAUAUUGAUAACGAGGCUUAUGAGAACAUGCAUUGCUCACUAGCGCACUAAGACUAUUUAUGGUGUCCUUAGGGCGACAGAGAAGCAAAGUAUUUUGAGAAGAGAUUUGAAAAUAUCUUUGAGUUAAGAUUAAGAGAACAUAUGCAUUAAGUGCUAAUCAGUGACACUGAAAAAGUGCGUGGCGAAAAUAUACUGAACAACAAAAAUUCCUGUGUCAUUGAAUAAGAUUUAACGCAAAGUUAUGUUUUUAACCAAAUCUGAAACAAUUUCGGGUUCCUCGACGUCG
rnacentral:misc_RNA from 1 species